GGCAGUGGUGGCUCAACGGUUAAGGCUCUGUCUUACAACUCAGAGGGUCAGGGUGGUUCAAGCCCCAGCACUGCCA